rnacentral:rRNA from 1 species
UACGUAGGGUGCAAGCGUUGUCCGGAAUUAUUGGGCGUAAAGAGCUCGUAGGCGGUUUGUCGCGUCUGCUGUGAAAACCCGAGGCUCAACCUCGGGCCUGCAGCGGGUACGGGCAGACUAGAGUGCGGUAGGGGAGAUUGGAAUUCCUGGUGUAGCGGUGGAAUGCGCAGAUAUCAGGAGGAACACCAAUGGCGAAGGCAGAUCUCUGGGCCGUAACUGACGCUGAGGAGCGAAAGCGUGGGGAGCGAACAGG